rnacentral:rRNA from 1 species
GAUUAACGCUGGCGGCGUGCAUAACACAUGCAAGUCGAACGAUGAAACUUAAAUGACUUCUUCGGAAUGAUUUUAAUUGGAUUAGUGGCGAACGGGUGAGUAACGCGUGAGUAACCUGCCUUACACAAGGGGAUAGCCUCUGGAAACGGAGAAUAAUACCCUAUGAAACUAUCUUAUCGCAUGAAAAGAUAGUCAAAGUGUUUUAGCGGUGUAAGAUGGACUUGCGUCUGAUUAGCUAGUUGGUGAGAUAACAGCCCACCAAGGCAACGAUCAGUAGCCGGCUUGAGAGAGUGUACGGCAACAUUGGGACUGAGACACGGCCCAGACUCCUACGGGAGGCAGCAGUGGGGAAUUUUGCACAAUGGGGGCAACCCUGAUGCAGCGACGCCGCGUGAUUUAGAAGGCCUUCGGGUUGUAAAAAUCUUUUGUAUAGGAAGAAAAUGACAGUACUAUACGAAUAAGGUCCGGCUAAUUACGUG